ensembl:lncRNA
CCUGCUUAGUGCUGCAUUAGCAUAUUUAGUAGGCUGCAAGACAUAAUUCCUAAGAUAUGAACAUAUUUUUGUCUUUUUUUAAAAUCUGCAAUUAAGCUGUAAUAUGUAGGAACUCUGCACCAGGCAAUCAACGUGCAAACACCAAGAUGGAGUUGGGGAAGAGGAGGACAAGCGAGAGAAAUGUUCCCCCAGCGCUGAUAACACCCUGAACUGGUGUGAAAUAUUGAUAAAAGUGACUUGCCUCAAGAUGUGGAGAUUGUAAAACAAGAAAGAAGUUAUGUAUGGGAAAUAUAAAAUCUAAUAGUUUGAUAAUUUAAAAUAACAAAUUCUAAUUUUCAGACUCGGUGAAUAUGUUUUUUUAAAUGUUCCAAAUAAUGUGC